GAUGAAGAACGCAGCGAAAUGCGAUACGUAAUGUGAAUUGCAGAAUUCAGUGAAUCAUCGAAUCUUUGAACGCAUAUUGCGCUCUUUGGUAUUCCGAAGAGCAUGCUUGUUUGAGUAUCAGUAAACACCUCAAAGACUUCAAUUUGUUUUGAAUGGCCUUGGACUUGAGCAAUCCCAACACCAGUCUUUACGAUCGGUGGAGGGUUGCUUGAAAUGCAGGUGCAGCUGGACAUUCUCCUGAGCUAAAAGCAUAUUUAUUUAGUCCCGUCAAACGGAUUAUUACUUUUGCUGCAGCUAACAUAAAGGGAGUUUGACCGUAUUGGCUGACUGAUGCAGGAUUUCACAAGGGUCGGCAACGAUUCUUGUAAAACUCGAUCUCAAAUCAAGUAAGACUACCCGCUGAACUUAAGCAUAUCAAUAAGCGGAGGA
rnacentral:misc_RNA from 1 species